AGUCCAUUAAGCCUAGUUGCUUAGCGUUGGGAGCAUUACCGCAUGGUAACUCCUUAAAGUCAGUGGCAGGGUUACGGUACACUCUAAGCGUAGUAGAUUUCUUUCUCGCUUCUGUUGUGGCCGCGGCCGUUGCCAUAAACCUAUAAUUUUUUAUUGG
rnacentral:misc_RNA from 1 species